GACGAACGCUGGCGGCGUGCUUAACACAUGCAAGUCGAACGCUGAAGCUUGGUGCUUGCACUGGGUGGAUGAGUGGCGAACGGGUGAGUAAUACGUGAGUAACCUGCCCUUGACUCUGGGAUAAGCCUGGGAAACUGGGUCUAAUACUGGAUAUGACAUGCCACUGCAUGGUGGUGUGUGGAAAGGGUUUUACUGGUUUUGGAUGGGCUCACGGCCUAUCAGCUUGUUGGUGGGGUAAUGGCCUACCAAGGCGACGACGGGUAGCCGGCCUGAGAGGGUGCCGGCCAACACGGGACUGGGGAACCGCCCAGACUCCUACGGGAGGCAGCAGUGGGGAAUAUUGCACAAUGGGCGGAAGCCUGAUGCAGCGACGCCGCGUGAGGGAUGACGGCCUUCGGGUUGUAAACCUCUUUCAGCACGGAAGAAGCGAGAGUGACGGUACGUGCAGAAGAAGCGCCGGCUAACUACGUG
rnacentral:rRNA from 1 species